UGGGGGAUAUUGCACAAUGGGCGAAAGCCUGAUGCAGCGACGCCGCGUGGGGGAUGAAGGCCUUCGGGUUGUAAACUUCUUUUGCUCUGAACAAGGCAUGCCUUUGGGGUGUGUUGAGUGUAGGGGUUGAUUAGCGCCGGCUAACUACGUGCCAGCAGCCGCGGUAAUACGUAGGGGGCUAGCGUUGUCCGGAAUCACUGGGCGUAAAGGGUUCGCAGGCGGAAAUGCAAGUCAGGUGUAAAAGGCAGUAGCUUAACUACUGUAAGCAUUUGAAACUGCAUAUCUUGAGAAGAGUAGAGGUAAGUGGAAUUUUUAGUGUGGCGGUGAAAUGCGUAGAUAUUAAAAAGAAUACCGGUGGCGAAGGCGACUUACUGGGCUCAUUCUGACGCUGAGGAACGAAAGCGUGGGUAGCAAACAGG
rnacentral:rRNA from 1 species